rfam:Larimichthys crocea isolate SSNF unplaced genomic scaffold scaffold791, whole genome shotgun sequence.
UGUUCCCUUUUCUGUAAGUCGCUUUGGAUAAAAGCAUCAGCUAAAUGACUAAAU